rnacentral:rRNA from 1 species
UACGAAGGGGGCUAGCGUUGCUCGGAUUGACUGGGCGUAAAGGGCGCGUAGGCGGUUUGUACAGUCAGACGUGAAAUUCCUGGGCUCAACCUGGGGGCUGCGUUUGAUACGUGCGAGCUUGAGUUCGGAAGAGGGUCGUGGAAUUCCCAGUGUAGAGGUGAAAUUCGUAGAUAUUGGGAAGAACACCUGCGGCGAAGGCGGCUCACUGGCCCGAUACUGACGCUGAGGCACGAAAGCGUGGGGAGCAAACAGG